rnacentral:rRNA from 1 species
CACGGAGGAUGCGAGCGUUAUCCGGAUUUAUUGGGUUUAAAGGGUGCGCAGGCGGGAAAUUAAGUCGGCGGUGAAAUUUUGCGGCUCAACCGUAAAAGUGCCUUCGAUACUGGUUUUCUUGAGUGUAGCAGAAGUAGGCGGAAUUUGUGGUGUAGCGGUGAAAUGCAUAGAUAUCACGAGGAACUCCGAUUGCGCAGGCAGCUUACUAAACUACUACUGACGCUCAUGCACGAAGGCGUGGGGAUCAAACAGGAUUAGAUACCCUGGUA